rnacentral:lncRNA from 1 species
UGGGAAGAAGGAUAGUUCUGUGAUGUCUGACCAUAUUUCUGUUCUGGUGAAUAAUUCUGAGAUGCUUGGCCAUAAUUCUGUUGGGGUGGAUAACUUUGUGAUGCUUGGCCAAAGUUCUGUUGGGGUGGAUAGUUUUGUGAUGCUUGGCCAAAGUUCUGUUGGGGUGGAUAGUUUUGUGAUGCUUGGCCANCCAAAGUUCUGUUGGGGUGGAUAGUUUUGUGAUGCUUGGCCAAAGUUCUGUUGGGGUGGAUAGUUUUGUGAUGCUUGGCCAAAGUUCUGUUGGGGCGGAUAGUUUUGUGAUGCUUGGCCAAAGUUUUGUUGGGGUGGAUAGUUUUGUGAUGCUUGGCCAGAGUUCUGUCGAGGCGGAUACUGCUGUGAUGGAUAAUUUUGUGGAGGCGCAUAGUUGGGAUUCCCUUGAUAGCUUGGCACUGGAUUCUCUUGUCGGUUGUACUGACCAGGACUCCUAUUCCGGUCUCGUCUUCCCU